GCGACAUACAAAACAACAAUGACAAAUCGACAAUAAUGUUCAAUAGCCAAAAAUCAGCAUACAAUAGCAGCUGCAACAUCGAUUUAGUAGCAGCAAUUCACCUGCAAUAAUACACAUAAAUUGCGUACAACCGGUAAUAAUUUCAACGUGACCCAAAUCCGGGUCCAACCAAUAAACAGACUCGGUGUAUUUUUUAGGAAAAUUGUAGAAUCUCUACACCUUACCGGCCUGCAUAGAUUGUAUGAAUUCAUAUGAUUCAAAUUUAUUCCAUGUUUUAUCCCUUUAUUCAAGCUGAAAAUUCCAAAACUAUACUCGGUUAUUCCUUUGUCCCAUAUAUGUGGGAGCACAAAGUGUGACCCUCCUCUCCUCCUAUCGAAGGAUCAUUGUGGAGCAUGAAUGUACCAAGUCUUGAGGGUUGAAAAACUUUUGAAGUCUUGAGGGUUGAAAAACUUUUGAGCAAAAAAGUUCAUUUUUCUAGUAAAAAAAAAUUGUGAGAAGUUGUCGACUAUUCUAAGUUCUCGGAGUCGCAGAGGCUUGCCGGUGGUGGUAAAUAUUCAGUUAGAGGCUCUAGUUUCGUUUUGCUACUCCAAAACAGAAUGGAAUCCCCCUACCUUGCAUUUUCAAUGGGCGAAUGAGGCCCGUCUUUUCGAAUCAACUUUGAAUAGAAGGUCCCAAAGUCAAUACAUGGCAUAGGAUAUAAGGAGUUGGAAGAAUGAAAGAUGGGUCAAAAUCCAUUAUUGAAAUAACUGAGUGACUUGAAAGUCUCUUCUUUUUUUUUGUUAGUAUUGUUUUACUUAUUUUUAUUUAUUUUGUUAUCUAUUUAUUCAUUUGGAGCCUCGAAGCCGAAGUUGUAAAUUAAUACAGGUAAGCAAAUUUUGGGCCAAAGGGUUCGAAAAGAUAGUUUAGGAUAGGUUACGGGCCAAAAGCCCAAUAUUUAGAUAAGAACAGGUGUUGUUUAUAGGCCAAAAGCCCAAAUUAUCUUAGGACGGGUUUAUAGAUUUGGGUCUAAUGGCCUAAGUUUUUCCCCUUUC